GCUUUGAGAAUCAAAAACUGAGAGUUUGAAGAUUGAAUGAAUAAGAGUAAGAUCUAAGAGGGGUUUCUGGUGGUGAAGAUCGUCAGGUAAUUUAAUUAGACUCAACUGAAAUGGGGGUUUCAGAGAAAGGACUUAGGGUUUCUCAGAAAGUUGAUUCAAGUUAGUGAUGUACAAGAAGAAUUAAGGAGUGGGUUUAGUCGAUUGAGGAACGGGGUGAAGUGAAUUAGAUGUUGUAGCCGUUCUGGGGAAGAAUUGAGUAAUUAUGGUUCUGUGAAUUGAAGAUGAAUCUUCUUCUUAACCUUAACAUGCUUAACCUUACUAGAGAAAAAGCGUUAUCAGUGGAUAAUUAGGGUUUAUCGAAGAAAGUUAGGGUUUCGAUUGGAGAGGAUGAAGUUGAUUUGCUGUUUUUGGAGGAACCAAAUUAGAAUCACAAAAAACAAGCUUGAUCAAGGUAUGUAAGCUUUUUGAGAUUUCUUUUACUGAUAGAUUAAAUAUGGUCUUAAUGUCUUUAACAAUGGUCGCCGUGAAUACUACUAUCCAUCUGUUUGUAAAAAGGCUUGAGUGAAUGACCAGUUUAGCUGUAAGGAGAUAUAAAUUUAGAUGCUAAAAUUGGUGAACCGAUUUUGUUUCUUUUUUGUUUUUGUUUUUUUGGUUAUGCUUAAAUUUUCUCUUCAGUUUGUGUUGAGUUUGCAUGGUGCCAUCUUGAGUUUAUGUAGCAUACUAAAGAAAACACCAGAUUCUUUUAUUAAUCAAGUUUUGUUUCUACAAUUGUUCUCCUUGAAUCAUCAAUUAUAUAAUCACCAUGAUCCACAAUUGUCCAUGAAAAUAUUGAAUUUUGAUUCCUUUUCAACUGUAGAAUAGAAGUCUACCGAAACAGAAGAAAUAGAUAGACAAUUGCAGCUUCAGUAAUAUAGUAUUAGUUUGUGUUUCUUUCUUUAGAAUCUCUCGGAUCCUUUUUUACAUAUUGUGUUAUUCUUUUUAGUGCAUUACCAUAUGAUUCACUCACCCCUCUAAUAUUAUGCAGUUUUUCUAUUUUUUCAUUACUAUUCCAUGAGUGAGUGUUUUGUCAUUGAUUGUUUAAUUUAGCGUAACCUCUUAUGAAUACAUAUUGUAUUUGGUAUCUUGCUGGACAUUCUUGGGGAAUGCUUCCUCAUCAUAUUGUGUUGCUGGCGGACUAUUUAACCUUCUUAUUGCACUGUUUCUUAUGCAUCAGGUUAUUAGCUAGGGAAAUGUUGUUUAUUGUUUUUACGGGUUCGUUAGAUUAGUAAGUAGCUCACCAGAUCUUUUAUUCUAUGCGUACAUUAUCUUCUUUGUUCACGGCUUAUAUUGAUCUUUUUUAAGGGAGUCGCAGAUCAUGUGCGCAUCCAGGAACCAAGCUCGGAACGUGCAGGCAGUGUAGAGGUUCAGGGAAGGUUUGUUCUUUCACUAUCCCGAGAACUGUGAACUGUAAUGGAGAAGUUGAUGAUGCUAUAAAUUGGCUCAAUUGUAAAUUGAUUAAGGUUGCUUAAUGUUUUUUUGCUCAAGUUUAUAAUGGAAGAAUAUUUUAUUA